ACGUCCUGCCAAACCUGUCCCGC
rnacentral:siRNA from 1 species